AAGAAAGGCGAGAGGAGGAGGAGGUGGCUGGUUCGAGGACCUCCUCAGGGCCUUACCUGCAGGUCUGGAGCCCAGCUGGUUUUGGGCUGUUCCAUCUGCCUUGAAGGACUGUGUCCACCCUUCUCCUGGCCUGCUCUCUGGCUCCCCAGCACAGGAGUCUUCUGGCUUCUUAAGUGGACUUUGGAGAGGAAGAAAUUGGGACACAGAAAGCUUAAGUAACUUGUUUGAAGUCAACAGCCAGCAUAUGGCUUCCAUCUCAAGGUCUAGAAUGACUCCUCCAGCCCAGCGAGAAGAUUUCAGCCGAUGAGAAAGAAAUAGGAGGAAAUGGAAGCCUGUCCUUUGCUCACAACCUGCUGAUCAGAACUUGGUCACAUGGACAAAUCCAUAUGCAAAAGCCCCACAUCUGCAUCAUGUGAGGGACUGGCUGCCCAGAGAUCCAGAGCUCAGCAUACCCAGAGGGAGAAAGCACUUGGGGACGCCCAUUGGAGUUAAAAUUGAGUCAACUGGAGAGUUUCUGCAAAUCAAAGAUUUCACUCUUCUGCAUUAUUCCUGGUCCAAACAUAAAGAUCUCUACAGACCUCAGAGUUGUAACUGGAUGCUUUUGGCUACAAGUCACAGAAGACUCCUUCUCAGCUGACCUUUCUUAUUACAUAUCACAAGGAGCCUGGAGACAGGGCAGCCCAGGGUUCUUUGUUGGAACAUUCCACGGAAGACUUGAAUUCUCUCCAUCCCCAAUUUAUACAAAUGGCCUGCUUUUUGCUUUUUCCUUCAACAGUGUAUCAUUCCAAACAAUACUAUAA
ensembl:lncRNA